rnacentral:rRNA from 1 species
ACGUGGGUGAUCUGCCCUGCACUUUGGGAUAAGCCUGGGAAACUGGGUCUAAUACCGAAUAUGAUCAUGGCCGUCAUGGGUUGUGGUGGAAAGCUUUUGCGGUGUGGGAUGGGCCCGCGGCCUAUCAGCUUGUUGGUGGGGUAAUGGCCUACCAAGGCGACGACGGGUAGCCGGCCUGAGAGGGUGUCCGGCCACACUGGGACUGAGAUACGGCCCAGACUCCUACGGGAGGCAGCAGUGGGGAAUAUUGCACAAUGGGCGAAAGCCUGAUGCAGCCAUGCCGCGUGUGUGAAGAAGGCC